CCUUCCGCCGCGACCCGUCGCGUCAGCGCGCGAGGCGGCCUAGCUCCGCCCAGUUCCUCGCCCCACCCCAGGCACACGAGGCCUCUACUGCGGCUGCGCGGCCCGCUGGAGCACGUGCGGCUUCUACUGCGGCUGCGCGACCUCGGCGCGCGCGCAUGCUCGUCGGCGUCCUAGGGCUCCUCCCUCCAGCCUAAGUCCCUCGGGGCGACUGUGCUGCCUACGCUUUCCGAACGCAGUCCUCUAGGCACCCUGGGUUCAGGAUGCUUGUUUCAAUAAGCAGUGUUCUGGAAGUAUCUUCCUGAUGCUAUCCGACAAGAGGUGUAACACACUUACUGCAAAAUGAGCAGGAACUCAGAGGAGGAGACAGGUCACCGAGUGGUUCUAUGUUACAAAUCCAGGUGGGAACAGCCCGGGCUCAGAGCAGGCUCCUGGCACCACUCAGAGCGCAGAGGUGAAUCCUAGACGGAGCGGCUGCAGCUCCACAUAGAAAUAUGUCCGCUUAAAAUGAAACCUGCUGACAAGUAUGUCUAAUGACAAUGUAUGCUACUUUCCCAAAUUGUCACAGUCUAACAAGAGCUGAAAACAUCGCUCUGUGCUCCUCAAGGGCUGCUCCAGCCUCCAGAAGCAUGCGGAUUCAGGCUGCCCUGGGGCUUGUUCCAGACCCUCACUGGCCAGGGUGGAGUCACCAGGGAGUCUGCGAAGGGCCUGGGUGAUGCCAAGAAUUAGAAUCCUCGAAUUCCAGAAUUAGAUCUACGUUUUCCUAAAAUAAAGCCCAUCUGCAAACA